AGAUCCAAUAGCGUAUAUUAAAUUUGUUGCAGUUAAAAAGCUCGUAGUUUAAAUUCUGGCCGGAGUGGUUGGUGCGACUAUAUUUUUUUUACCUGCAUCGCCUCUGGCCAUCCUUAGGGAGAACCUGUCUAGCAUUAGGUUGUCGGGUAGGGGGUACUCAUCGUUUACUGUGAAAAAUUAGAGUGUUCAAAGCAGGCUUACGCCGUUGAAUAUACUAGCAUGGAAUAAUAAUAUAGGAUCCUUGUACUAUUUUUUUGGUUUUUCACAAGGGUAAUGAUUAACAGGGAAAAUUGGGGAUAUUUGUAUUUCAGUGGAAGAAGUGAAAUUCUUGGAUUUCUGAAAGAGAAACAACUGCGAAAGCAUUUAUCAAGGAUGUUUUCA
rnacentral:rRNA from 1 species